rnacentral:rRNA from 1 species
UACACUUGCAGGUCGAACGGUAGCAGGCCUUCGGGUGCUGACGAGUGGCGGACGGGUGAGUAAUGCGUAGGAAUCUGUCUUUUAGUGGGGGACAACCCAGGGAAACUUGGGCUAAUACCGCAUGAGCCCUGAGGGGGAAAGCGGGGGAUCUUCGGACCUCGCGCUAAGGGGGGAGCCUACGUCUGAUUAGCUAGUUGGUAGGGUAAAGGCCUACCAAGGCGACGAUCAGUAGCUGGUCUGAGAGGACGACCAGCCACACUGGGACUGAGACACGGCCCAGACUCCUACGGGAGGCAGCAGUGGGGAAUUUUUCGCAAUGGGGGCAACCCUGACGAAGCAAUGCCGCGUGGAUGAAGAAGGCCUUCGGGUUGUAAAGUCCUUUCCUGGGGGACGAAAAGGUGGUUCCUAAUACGAACUGCUGUUGACGUGAACCCAAGAAGAAGCACCGGCUAACUCCGUGCCAGCAGCCGCGGUAAUACGGGGGGUGCAAGCGUUAAUCGGAAUCACUGGGCGUAAAGGGUGCGUAGGCGGUACGUUAGGUCUGUCGUGAAAUCCCCGGGCUCAACCUGGGAAUGGCGGUAGAAACCGGCGCACUAGAGUAUGGGAGAGGGUGGUGGAAUUCCAGGUGUAGCGGUGAAAUGCGUAGAGAUCUGGAGGAACAUCAGUGGCGAAGGCGGCCACCUGGCCCAAUACUGACGCUGAGGCACGAAAGCGUGGGGAGCAAACAGGAUUAGAUACCCUGGUAGUCCACGCCCUAAACGAUGAAUACUAGAUGUUUGGUACCUAGCGUACUGAGUGUCGUAGCUAACGCGAUAAGUAUUCCGCCUGGGAAGUACGGCCGCAAGGUUAAAACUCAAAGGAAUUGACG